rnacentral:tmRNA from 1 species
GGGCUUGUACUGGUUUCGACGGGGGUUUUGAAGUCGAGGAAGCCAUCCGCGGGCUGGACCGCGUAUCAACCAGAACUUAAAUUUAAACGCUGACAACAAUACUGUUGCAGUAGCGGCCUGAGUGUCGCUCGUCGGCCCGGUUGUACCCGUACUCCCGGUCACCGGCGUCAUGAUUACGGGAAACGACACGGAUUAAGCUUUGCGUCCGCGGGCGUAACAUGAAGCUACUGAGCUUAUGAGGCUGCUGCCUGCCGCUUAAGCGAGGGAAUGGAAACAAGCAGCUGUGAUGGGAGAUGCCUUGAUGGAGGAGCUUUCGGACGCGGGUUCGAUUCCCGCCAGGUCCACCA